rnacentral:misc_RNA from 1 species
AAAAAGAGCAAAGGAAAGGAUCCCUAAACCUAAUAAGCAGAUGCUGCUAUGGAGAAACUUCACCAUGAUAUUCAUAUAUGAUCUUCGGUAAACCUUCCAUUAGUGGCCCACUGAGAUGGGUCUCUCGGCUAAACCCAGAGGAGAACGUGAGCGUUCCCUGGUGAUUUUGCAUAUAACACGUCUCAUCUCUGUCUGCUUCAGCGACGG